ACAUAGAAUCACAGAGCCCAAUAAAAAGGGGCUCCCAGCCUUAGUCAGACUAUUGAACUCAGAAAAAAAGAGUCUGGGUAUCUUCACCAUGACUUGGACUGCACUACUCCUCAUUUUCCUUCAUCAUUUAACAGGGACAUGUACCCAGUUUGUGCUAAAUCAGCCAAACUCUGUGUCUGGAUCUCUUGGGAGCACAGUCACCAUCACCUGCAAGCGCAGCAGUGGUAACAUUGGAAGCUACUAUGUGCACUGGUACCAGCAGCACUUUGGAAGUCCACCCACCAAUGUUAUCUAUGAAUACAAUAAAAGACCAUCUGGGAUUCCUGAUCGGUUCUCUGGCUCCACUGACAGCUCCUCCAACUCAGCCUCACUGACAAUCACUGAUCUGAAGAUUGAGGAUGAGGCUGACUACUACUGCCAGUCUUCUGAUGGUAGUAGCAAUAGACACAGUGAUGAGAAUCAUGGGGAAGUAAGACAAAAACUCCUUGGAGCACCAGCUGUAAAUUCACUUGAGAAAAAGACUAUUGCUAUUUUAUGUCUCCUGCCAAAGUACUGCUAUUGGGAUUGCCACAUCAUAAUUUCCUCUAGGUUCAGUGCAAGAUUCUACUUUCUCCUCCCUCAUAUGGGUGGCUGAGCUUUUUACACAUAU